rnacentral:rRNA from 1 species
UACGGGGGGGGCAAGCGUUGUUCGGAAUUACUGGGCGUAAAGGGCUCGUAGGCGGUCUGUUGCGUCAGGAGUGAAAACCCGGGGCUCAACUCCGGGCCUGCAGCCGAUACGGGCAGACUAGAGUUCGGCAGGGGAGACUGGAAUUCCUGGUGUAGCGGUGAAAUGCGCAGAUAUCAGGAGGAACACCGGUGGCGAAGGCGGGUCUCUGGGCCGAUACUGACGCUGAGGAGCGAAAGCGUGGGGAGCGAACAGG